GUUUGAUCCUGGCUCAGGAUGAACGCUAGCGGCGUGCCUAACACAUGCAAGUCGAACGUGAGAGGGUACUUGUAUCCUUGAAAGUGGCGGACGGGUGAGUAAGACGUAGGUGACCUGCCUUGAAGUGGGGGAUAACCAUUGGAAACGAUGGCUAAUACCGCAUAAGCUGGUGAUGAUGGGAAUCGUUAUCAGGAAAGCUUUUAGUGCUUUGAGAGGGGCCUACGGCCGAUUAGCUAGUUGGUGAGGUAAAGGCUCACCAAGGCGAUGAUCGGUAGCUGGUCUGAGAGGACGAUCAGCCACACGGGAACUGAGACACGGUCCCGACUCCUACGGGGGCAGCAGUCAGGAAUAUUCGGCAAUGGGGGGCAACCCGUGACCGAGCAACGCCGCGUGGAGGAUGACGGUUUUCGGAUUGUAAACUCCUUUCUCAGGGAGAGCGAGGACGGUACCUGGGGGAAUAAGUCACGGCUAACUACGU
rnacentral:rRNA from 1 species